GACGAACGCUGGCGGCGCGCUUAACACAUGCAAGUCGAACGGAAAGGCCUGCUUUCCCUUGUGGAUUGCGGGUACUCGAGUGGCGAACGGGUGAGUAACACGUGAGUGAUCUGCCCCCAACUUGGGUAUAAGCCUGGGAAACUGGGUCUAAUUCCCGAUAGGACUGCAGGGUGGUGCCUGUGGUGGAAAACGAUUUCCUAGUGGUUGGGGAUGAGCUCGCGGCCUAUCAGCUUGUUGGUGGGGUAAUGGCCUACCAAGGCGGCGACGGGUAGCCGGCCUGAGAGGGUGGACGGGCACAUUGGGACUGAGAAGCGGCCCAGACUCCUACGGGAGGCAGCAGUGGGGAAUAUUGCACAAUGGGCGGAAGCCUGAUGCAGCGACGCCGGGUGGGGGAUGACGGCCUUCGGGUUGUAAACUCCUUUCGACCGCGAGGAAGCCACCUGGUUGGAAGGGUGGUGACGGUAGUGGUAGAAGAAGCGCCGGCUAACUACGUG
rnacentral:rRNA from 1 species